rnacentral:lncRNA from 1 species
UCCCACUUCAGUCCAAUAAAAGCUGCAUAAAUUAUGAACAAAAUAAAAUAAAAUAAACGGUACACGUAUAAAUGCAGGCAGAUGAGAAAUGCGAGGGUGCUAUAAUUUCCUCAUCAAUACGAUGCUAGCCUCCAACCACCACUUGGGGUCCGCCUCCAACCACCACUUGGGGUCCAUCUUCUUCAUCAAUAUUCAUUGACUUCCAACUCAUUGUCUCAUAGUCUGAAUAAUUAGAUGCUUAAAAGACAUAGUGCCAAGUUCUUCAACUUUCACUGAUUAUACAGUAUUCCCAUCUCCACUUCUUUCAGCUUUUUGGGCCCUGAAUUCCAUUUUGCUUGUCCUGUUGGGGAUUUUGUAGGAGCAAAGGAAGAAAAACAGGACACAAGACAAGGCAACAAGAUGCAAUAAAAUUUUUUUACUUGCUCACAAAUGUGCAGCAAGAGAGCUUAUGGCUGAUAGCUUAUUUUUGCUCACUUAUUCAAUAAGAAAACAAUAUCUUUAUAAUCAAAAUGUUGAGCAAUGGACUGCAAUGCAACAAGUAACCAACAUGACGCAGUUACAGCAAGCAGCUUUGGAGCAGAACCAGAAGCUGUCCAUGUUAACACAAUGGCAGCAACAACUAAACAAAUGAAGCAUCAAAGAGCAUGAGCUCUCAAACAGCAAACAAAAACGAGAAAGAAAACAAAACAGAAAACUCAAAACAGCAUGUAACCGAAUGGAAUACAUUUAC